rnacentral:rRNA from 1 species
GACGAACGCUGGCGGCGUGCUUAACACAUGCAAGUCGAACGAUGAAGCUAGAGCUUGCUCUGGUGAAUUAGUGGCGAACGGGUGAGUAACACGUGAGUAACCUGCCCCGAACUCUGGGAUAACUGCUGGAACGGUAGCUAAUACUGGAUACGACCUACGAAGGCAUCUUCUGUAGGUGGAAAGAAUUUCGGUUCGGGAUGGACUCGCGGCCUAUCAGCUUGUUGGUGAGGUAAUGGCUCACCAAGGCGACGACGGGUAGCCGGCCUGAGAGGGUGACCGGCCACACUGGGACUGAGACACGGCCCAGACUCCUACGGGAGGCAGCAGUGGGGAAUAUUGCACAAUGGGCGCAAGUCUGAUGCAGCAACGCCGCGUGAGGGAUGACGGCCUUCGGGUUGUAAACCUCUUUUAGUAGGGAAGAAGCGAAAGUGACGGUACCUGCAGAAAAAGCACCGGCUAACUACGUGCCAGCAGCCGCCGUAA